rnacentral:rRNA from 1 species
CCUACGGGAGGCAGCAGUGGGGAAUAUUGGGCAAUGGGCGCAAGCCUGACCCAGCAACGCCGCGUGAAGGAAGAAGGCUUUCGGGUUGGAAACUUCUUUUCUCAGGGACGAAGCAAGUGACGGUACCUGAGGAAUAAGCCACGGCUAACUCCGGGCAAGCAGCCGCGGUAAUCCGUCGGUGGCAAGCGUUAUCCGGAUUUACGGGGUGUAAAGGGCGUGUAGGCGGGACUGCAAGUAAGAUGUGAAAACCAUGGGCUCAACCUAUGGCCUGCAUUUGAAACUGUAGUUCUUGAGUACUGGAGAGGCAGACGGAAUCCCUAGGGUAGCGGUGAAAUGCGUAGAUAUUAGGAGGAACACCAGUGGCGAAGGCGGUCUGCUGGACAGCAACUGACGCUGAGGCGCGAAAGCGUGGGGAGCAAACAGGAUUAGAUACCCCUGUAGUC